rnacentral:rRNA from 1 species
AUGGCCUACUUCGAUGAGAAGGCGAAGGAAGAUCCAGAUUUCUUCUACAGGAUAAGGUUGGACAAUGAGGACCGUGUCAGGAACAUGUAUUGGGUGGAUGGUGCUGCAAGGAGAGCCUACAAACAUUUCCGAGAUUGCAUUUCAUUCGACGCGACAUACCUCACCAAUAUGUACAAGAUGCCAAGCGCUCCGUUCAUAGAAAUAAAUAACCACAAUCAGUCGUUGCAGUUCGGCUGCGGGCUCGUCUAGAACGAAGACACGGAUGGGUACGUUUGGCUGUUCAAGACCUUCUUGGAGUGCAUGGAUGGACUUGCUCCGAUGAACAUAAUAACAGACCAAGAUUUCAGCAUGCGUGCAGGCAUAGAGGAGGUCUUUCCGUUGGCAGUGCACAGGCACUGUAGGUGGCACAUUAUAAAGAAGGUUGAGGAGACACUAGGACCGUUCUUUGUUGACCGUCCAGAGCUACAUAAGGCAUUCGAGCUGUGCGUGGACCACAAUUUGACGGUAGAGGAGUUUGAAAGGAGCUGGAUGGCCAUGACUGAAACACAUCAAGUCCAAGACAACGAGACUCUUGUUAGCCUAUGGGAGAAGCGAAUGUACUGA